rnacentral:lncRNA from 1 species
AUGCUAGAGACCUAUAGGAAUCUCUCAGCUAUAGGUUACAUUUGGGAAGGACAUAUAAGUGAAGACUAUUUUCAAACUUCUAGAAGUCAUGGAAGGCAUGAAAGAAAUUGUACUGCAGUGCAACCCUCUGAGUUUAUUCAAUGUGGUAAAGCCUUUGCAUAUCAGAGUCUUAGACAAAGGCAUGAAAGAACACAUAAUGGAGAGAAAGACUAUUGCUGUAACCAAUGUGGUAAAAACUUUAUAAUAAGCAGUCAUCUCCAAAUACAUAAACGAAGAAAUACAGGAGAGAAACCCUAUGAAUGUAACCAAUGUGGUAAAGCCUUUGCAGGAAGUGGUGACUUCCAAAAACAUAAACGAAGACAAAGAGGAGAGAAACCCUAUGAAUGUAACCAAUGUGGUAAAACCUUUGCUGUAAGAAGUGACCUCCAAAUACAUAAGCGAACACAUACAGGAGAGAAACCCUAUGAUUGUAAACAGUGUGGUAAAGCUUUUAUAAGAAGGGGAGACCUCCAAAUACAUAAGCGAAUACAUAGAGGAGAGAAACCCUAUGAAUGUAACACUAUGGUAAAGCCUUUGUAA